CCAACAUUAGUGUGCGAUGGAAGGACGCUUAGGGCUAAGCAAGCUAGCGGAUGGAAGUGCUAGUCUAAGGAUGUAGGAGCUUAUACAGGCAAAUCCGUAUAAGAAUACUCCGAGAUCUUAAAGGCUCUUUGAAGUCUUCGGAUGGAUAGGAGAAUUGCUGAUGCCGUCGAGCCAAGAAAAGUUUCUAAGUUUAGCUAAUGUUGCCCGUACCGUAAACCGACACAGGUGGGUGGGAUGAGUAUUCUAAGGCGCGUGGAAGAACUCUCUUUAAGGAACUCUGCAAAAUAGCACCGUAUCUUCGGUAUAAGGUGUGGUUCGCUUUGUAUUAGAAUUUACUUCGAAAGCAAAGAAACUUACAACAAAGAGUCCCUCCCGACUGUUUACCAAAAACACAGCACUCUGCUAACUCGUAAGAGGAUGUAUAGGGUGUGACGCCUGCCCGGUGCUCGAAGGUUAAUUGAUGGGGUUAGCAUUAGCGAAGCUCUUGAUCGAAGCCCGAGUAAACGGCGGCCGUAACUAUAACGGUCCUAAGGUAGCGAAAUUCCUUGUCGGUUAAAUACCGACCUGCAUGAAUGGCGUAACGAGAUGGGAGCUGUCUCAAAGAGGGAUCCAGUGAAAUUGUAGUGGAGGUGAAAAUUCCUCCUACCCGCGGCAAGACGGAAAGACCCCGUGGACCUUUACUACAGCUUGACACUGCUAUUUGGAUAAGAAUGUGCAGGAUAGGUGGGAGGCUUUGAGUAAUAGACGCCAGUUUAUUAUGAGCCAUUGUUGAGAUACCACUCUUUCUUAUUUGGGUAGCUAACCAGCUUGAGUUAUCCUCAAGUGGGACAAUGUCUGGUGGGUAGUUUGACUGGGGCGGUCGCCUCCCAAAUAAUAACGGAGGCUUACAAAGGUUGGCUCAGAACGGUUGGAAAUCGUUCGUAGAGUAUAAAGGUAUAAGCCAGCUUAACUGCAAGACAUACAAGUCAAGCAGAGACGAAAGUCGGUCUUAGUGAUCCGGUGGUUCUGUGUGGAAGGGCCAUCGCUCAAAGGAUAAAAGGUACCCCGGGGAUAACAGGCUGAUCUCCCCCAAGAGCUCACAUCGACGGGGAGGUUUGGCACCUCGAUGUCGGCUCAUCGCAUCCUGGGGCUGGAGCAGGUCCCAAGGGUAUGGCUGUUCGCCAUUUAAAGCGGUACGCGAGCUGGGUUCAGAACGUCGUGAGACAGUUCGGUCCCUAUCUGCCGUGGGCGUAAGAAGAUUGAAGAGAUUUGACCCUAGUACGAGAGGACCGGGUUGAACAAACCACUGGUGUAGCUGUUGUUCUGCCAAGAGCAUCGCAGCGUAGCUAAGUUUGGAACGGAUAAACGCUGAAAGCAUCUAAGCGUGAAGCCAACUCUAAGAUGAAUCUUCUCUAAGCUCUCUAGAAGACUACUAGUUUGAUAGGCUGGGUGUGUAAUGGAUGAAAGUCCUUUAGCUGACCAGUACUAAUAGAGCGUUUGGCUUAUCUUUUUUAUAAGCAU
rnacentral:rRNA from 1 species